rfam:Gossypium raimondii Chr13_contig_358, whole genome shotgun sequence.
CUCACAGAGAGUUCGUUCCUAGCUCAGGAUGAACACUGGCGGCAUGCUUGACACAUGCAAGUCAGAAGGGAAGUGGCGUUGCAGUGGAGAACGGGUGAGUAAUGUGUAAGAACCUGCCCUUGGGAAGGGAACAACAGCUAGAAACAACUACUAAUACCCUAUAGGCUGAAGAGCAAAAGGAAGAACCUGCCCGAGGAGGGGCUCGCGUCUGAUUAGCUAGUUGGUGAGGCAAUAGCUUACAAAGGCGAUGAUUAGUAGCUAGUCCGAAAGGAUGAUCAGCCACACUGAGACUGAGACACGGCCCAGACUCCUAUGGGAGGGAGCAAUGGGGAAUUUUUCGCAAUCGGCAAAAGCUUGACAGAGCAAUGUCGCGUGAAGGUAGAAGGCCCACAGGUCGUGAACUUCUUUUCUCGGAGAAGAAGCAAUAACGGUAUCUGGGGAAUAAGCACUGACUAACUCUGUGCCAGCAGUCGUAGUAAUACAGAGGAUGCAAGAAUUCUCCGGAAUGAUUAGGCGUAAAGCGUUUGUAGAUGGCUUUGUAAGUCCGUCGUCUAAUCCCAGGGCUCAACCCUGGACAGGCGGUGGAAACUACCAAGCUGGAGUAUGGUAGGGGCAGAGGGAAAAUGAGGGUUUUGAUUUGCCUAGUGCGGUGAUCACCAUAGAUUAAACAGGCUAUGGCAAUCUGGUAUGUGGUACGUAGUGUAAGAUCAUGGGUGAAAGAUGCCAUGGCAACAAGGUAUAAGAUAAACAGUGUA